rnacentral:misc_RNA from 1 species
GUGAAUCAUCGAAUCUUUGAACGCAAAUUGCACUCUCUUCGGAGAGUAUGCCUGUUUGAGGGUCAGCCUAAAAAAAAUCGACAUAGUCUCUGUUUCGCGGUGACAUUCGUCGGAAAUGGGGUCAUCUUAAUCCUUUUGGUUUUAGGUGGCUUAAAAUUUGCUUUACGUUUCUACGAACGUUUCUAAGAUUUACUUACACGUUUAGGGGAUCGAUCUUUAUUAGGCGUGUCC